rnacentral:tRNA from 1 species
GGAAAGAUCGCCACGGGUAGGGCAAGCUGUUUGCUAUACAGUAUCUUUAUAGAUUUGGGCGUUCAAAUCGUCUUCUUUCCG